rnacentral:rRNA from 1 species
GUCCACGCCGUAAACGAUGGGUGCUAGCCGUUGGGCAGCAUGCUGUUCGGUGGCGCAGCUAACGCAUUAAGCACCCCGCCUGGGGAGUACGAUCGCAAGAUUAAAACUCAAAGGAAUUGACGGGGGCCCCGCACAAGCGGUGGAGCAUGUGGUUUAAUUCGAAGCAACGCGAAGAACCUUACCAGGCCUUGACAUCCCGGUCGCGGCCUCUCGAAAGAGGGGCCUUCAGUUCGGCUGGACCGGUGACAGGUGCUGCAUGGCUGUCGU